rnacentral:rRNA from 1 species
AAUGAACGCUGGCGGCGUGCUUAACACAUGCAAGUCGAACGAGGCUGAGGGGGCAACUCCUCAGUUUAGUGGCGGACGGGUGAGUAACAACGUGGGUAACCUGCCCGGAAGUGGGGAAUACCUCGGGGAAACUCGAGCUAAUACCGCAUAACAUCUUCGGGACGAAAGUCCUGACGAUCAAAAGCGGGGUCGCAAGAUCUCGCGCUACCGGAUGGGCCCGCGCCCGAUUAGCUAGUUGGUGGGGUAACGGCCACCAA